rnacentral:tRNA from 1 species
GCAAAAAUAGCUCAAUGGUAGAGUAUAACCUUGCCAAGGUUAAUGUUGAGGGUUCAAGUCCCUUUUUUUGCU